rnacentral:snRNA from 1 species
UCUACAGAGAAACUUUACAGUA